AGAUACAAGAGAUUGACAGGCUGAUGAAUUACAUACAACUGAUCGAUAAGAAGAUGAAAAUGAGGGGUUGAAAAGAGGUUCUGGUUGAUUGUAACACAAUCUACAAGGUUGGCAUUGAACCCAAGUAAGAUCACUUCCUGUGUCUACAAUUACUGUCAUAUUUCGACCGCCUAAUGUCACUGUGACAAUGUAAUUUAGAGUCUGCAUUGUGACACCUGAAGUGAUAGGAAUUCGGGUGGUCUGUGAUAAAGUUUCAACUUGUUGAGAACUAAUGUUCUUGAUAUGUGAUUGCAUUGACCGAACUCGAAUAUCAUCAGCUACUAAUUGUUUCUUCAGCCUUCCAUUCAAGUCAUCUCUUGAUCUAGAGCAGUAAUCUUUGUGCUUCAUUUCUAAUAUUGUUGCCCCAUUUUCACUUCCUGGAAAACCACAGAUGACGACAAUUAACAACACGUACUGGUCAUAUAGUCAGAGACGGAUUCAGGAUUUUUGAAGGAUUUAUACCUUCAAGAUUGAAGGUAAUUCUUAACACUGAACUCAUUACAGUACUUUGAAUUUAAGAGUUCCUAAUUUAAUAUUGAAUGAAAUUCUAGUAGGUUUUCACAUAUAUAUAAAUAGCCUACAUCAACCUCUGCACAUACUGCUUUUAGGAUAUAGGGAUUAGAGAAGCAAUAAUUGUGUUAAUUAGAUGACUUAAAGCAUGAAAAGUGGCUGAAUAUAUGAUAGCAGAUCCCAAGAAAGAGUUUGAUAACAUUGAUAUGAGAAAAGCUAAACAACCACUAAUAUACACUACAGUAUAUGAUAUAAAAAAUGAUUAGCUCAAGCUACAAUGUCUUUGUUUUUUAUGUGCACAAACUCACUUGAUUUUUGAGAUGAACAACUUGGUCCAUAAUGGCUGUGUUGUAUCCUUUGAAGUGUUUUGAGUGGGAGAAGUAGUUCAUUAUCUGCAUGACCAAAUGCUCCAUUUCCAGAAGAAGUGAAGAAUAGUACAAAAAGCAGAAGACAAAGAAUGGAAUAUUGGCAAAGUGACAUUGUUUUUUUAAAGUUCUACAAUUGCAGCUUUUGAAGAUGAACUCAACAAAGGUUUAAAAACAUAGAAGGAGGAGGAGGAGAAGAGAGUAGAGCUAAGCUAAGACUAAGAGAAUGAGAUUCUUAGGAGUUGGACAGUAGGCAAGAGAACAAAAGGAAAGUGGCUGGCAAAAAGAGGACCCCACAAAUGCAUGAGAAAUUAUUGGGAUUUCACGUGCAGAUACUUGGGAAAAAUAAAGUGAUUUUUGUAAAUUGUUUGUGGAGACAAUGGACUUAGCUUUCAUUGAGCUUGUCGUUCAGAAAUUACAUUUUAUUGGUUGUCCUAAGACUUCCAUGGAUAAGGACUCUCCCCCUCCACGA
rnacentral:lncRNA from 1 species